GACGAACGCUGGCGGCGUGCCUAACACAUGCAAGUCGAACGGAGUGAAGCCCUUCGGGACUUUACUUAGUGGCGAACGGGUGAGUAACGCGUGAGGAACCUGCCUUUCAGUGGGGGACAACAGUUGGAAACGACUGCUAAUACCGCAUGACGCUUCUUGGGGGCAUCCCCGGGAAGCCAAAGAUUUAUUGCUGAAAGAUGGCCUCGCGUCUGAUUAGCUGGUUGGUGAGGUAACGGCCCACCAAGGCGACGAUCAGUAGCCGGUCUGAGAGGAUGAACGGCCACAUUGGGACUGAGAUACGGCCCAGACUCCUACGGGAGGCAGCAGUGGGGAAUAUUGGGCAAUGGGGGGAACCCUGACCCAGCAACGCCGCGUGAAGGAAGAAGGCCUUCGGUUGUAAACUUCUUUAGUCAGGGACGAAGGACGUGACGGUACCUGCAGAAAAAGCAACGGCUAACUACGUAGCCAGCAGCCGC
rnacentral:rRNA from 1 species